UGGGGAAUUUUGGACAAUGGGCGCAAGCCUGAUCCAGCCAUGCCGCGUGCAGGAUGAAGGCCCUCGGGUUGUAAACUGCUUUUGUACGGAACGAAAAGCCUCUUUCUAAUAAAGAGGGGUGAUGACGGUACCGUAAGAAUAAGCACUGGCUAACUACGUGCCAGCAGCCGCGGUAAUACGUAGGGUGCGAGCGUUAAUCGGAAUUACUGGGCGUAAAGCGUGCGCAGGCGGUCUUGCAAGACAGUGGUGAAAUCCCCGGGCUCAACCUGGGAACUGCCAUUGUGACUGCAAGGCUGGAGUACGGCAGAGGGGGAUGGAAUUCCGCGUGUAGCAGUGAAAUGCGUAGAUAUGCGGAGGAACACCGAUGGCGAAGGCAGUCCCCUGGGCCUGUACUGACGCUCAUGCACGAAAGCGUGGGGAGCAAACA
rnacentral:rRNA from 1 species